AGGGCUGUAGUUUAAUAAAAUAGUAAGUUGCAAACUUGACGUUAGGGGAAAGCCCUCAGCUCCG
rnacentral:tRNA from 2 species